rnacentral:lncRNA from 10 species
UUUUCUGUCAAUACUGAUUUUGGUGUGGGUGUGAGGAGGGCUGAGAAUGGCUGUGUUCUUUUGGAUUCUCCCACACUUGGGGAAUUUUUCCUUAGGCAACUUUGGAUGGAUCCAUGCUGGGCCUUUGAGGAUUGAGCUCAGAAGAGGAGAUUGAAAAGCAAUCUUUUUUCAUCACCAAAUGAAAAUGCAAAGAGAUAUGUUUGUGGAACAGAAUGUAAUUAACCAAAGUGGAAUUGGGCCAACUAAGCAGCAUUAACAGGCUAAAUGUGUCCCCAGUUCUUGGAGCCUUCCGAAGAUGGGCUCAUUCUUGACUGCAUGAAGAAAAGCUAAAGCAUCUACAAGAGUCUAAAAUGGGUAAAUGGAAGACUUGAAAGGAGAAAAACAGCUCAAUUCUCUCACAAACUAAAGAUGACAACUAAGGCUAGCCACCCCUUCCCCAAACUGAAAAUCCAUGUGACUAAUUUUUAUAAGCAGUCACUGGAAUGUUCCUGCUGGGAAUAGGACAGAUAAUAUAUGUAGCUGGCACUCUCACUCAGGAGGAACUAUUGUUCCAUUUGGGGAGUGGAAGCCAACUCCCUUCAAGACUUAAAGAAAAGCUAAUUUAAGACAUGGCUAAAAGCAACCGAAAUGAGAAAGGGGAAAAAAAUCUCAAGUUUCUGUGCAGUGUGCCAGCUGACCAAAUGUAAAGUAAAACAAAACAAUUAACCCCCAACCCCUGCGAAAAAGAAAAAAAAAUCGAGAGAAAAAAAAGAAUGAAGCAUUUGUCAUUGGACUUGCUCUGUGCUCAUUUUGGCUUGCUUCAGAUACUUUUCCAAGUUUAAAUUGGAAAGUUUAUGACUUUCAGGUGCAGAAAUAUUCUUUUCUAGGUGUCAUUUCUGUCUAUUUCUACCAAGCCUUUUUAAUAAGAAAUCAAAGAAAUGGUCACUUAAGGAAAGAAAAAAGGAUACAAAUGAUGGCUGACCCCCAUGAUAAAAGGAUCUCAAAAAAAGAGAAGAGUUGCUGGGCCUCAGUCAAGGCAUGGAAGCUAAAGGGAAUUGACAGAACUGAAGCAGCCAUGUAAAGAAUAAGAGUUGUCUGUGAAGAAAAAUGAUUGAUGUCCAGACAGUGCCCCCUCCCACAAUACCUUGACAUUAACUGAAGAUACUGAAACCAUGGAAUGGUCUUGGGGAUGGAAGAAAAAAUAAGUGACUGAGGAAAAAUCAACUUCAGCUCAGAAAUAAAACUGAGCUUGUUACAUACAUACAUAUAAAACUUGUUACAGCAAAUAAAGUGCU